AUUCCACAGCUCCAUAUUCUGUAAUUUUAAGAAGAUACCUCUUCAAGGCUCAAGAUAACUUGUAGUCUUAACAAAAAGUGUCAGUAUAGUUCAGUUCCCAGUUCCUGUUACAAAUACAAAUGGUGACCUAUAUAUUUAUUUGUAUUAUUUAAAGACUCCAUUGAAUGGAUAAACAUCUCUUCCUUCACCUUUAUGUGUAAAUAUCUUUUCCUUCUUGGAGUACCUUUGGGAAGCUAUAUGGCUGUCUGAGGACUAAAAUCACUGCUUUUAGAGCUAUAAAAGAUGGACUUCAUCUUCCACAACAUGAGAAGUUGGAUAUACAUCCCAGGCAGCUCCCAGAAUUUCUGCUCCCGUUCAUCAGAGCAGGGAGAAGUGGAGAGGAUGCCUGCCUGCUCCUCAAAAGCUUCAGAGGAACUGAGCAGCAGAAUUGUUUGCAGGCUCAAUAAUCAUUCUGCUCAUCAUUCUGCCUGUAAAUAGCCUCACAUCCAUGGCUAAUCACUGACCAGUACAAUAAUGAUAAAUGUAAGCCAAGAGGAUAAACAAUUGCACUAUGCUGUAUCUCUUACAGACAGGUUUCAAAUAAAUCCAACUAAAAUAUCUGUGGGAAUUUAAUAGAGAAAGAAAAAAAGAGAGAGAGGGAAGAAAGGAAAGAAGGGAAAGGAAGGGAAGAAAGAAUGAAAGGAAAGAAAGAAAGCCAUGUGUCUGUGGUCAGCAGUUUUACCAAAUCUGCCUGUGUCACUGAUUUAAAAAACAGGAAGACGUGAAGCCAGGGACUGUUAAGAGCACAGACUUAAAGCAGAGCUACUAAUAAAAAUGACUGGAGGAAAAAUGAAGAAUAGAAAUAAGCUCUUUUUGAUGGAAACGGUUGUUUCAAACUGGAAUUAUGUACAGUGUUCAGCCAUAAAUCUUCAAUAAUGUUUUAUCUCCUCACUAUUUUUCUUCUUUUUCGCUUAUCUUCACAUGCACACACACCACCACUGCUUGCAAUGACAUAAAGGCACUGCUGUUACUGGGUAGGAGCUGCUUAAGCCAGCUGUUAAAAAGGGACCAAGUUGCAAAUCAGAAAAAGAAAUGUGGGAAAGAGAUACAUGCUUGUACUGAAAAACAAAAAACCCAAGCAAACAAGAAUCUCUAGAUGUGAAGUCUACUAACACGGAUUUGAAGAGUGUGUUGGAAAGGGCAUCUUUAUAAAUAUGAAGUGCCUUAAGAAUUUGAUGCUUCAGCUAUUGUGACUCAGGAAAAUCAUGGUCUUUGAAAAAAAUAUUUGCAAGAUAUUAGCCACUUUAAAACUGAAAUGGCCAGGAUUGCCUUUAGACUCAGUUCAGCUCUGAACUAGUUAAUGUCACCUCUCACAAUGUAUGGUUAGAGAAAACCAACGCAGUAUUAGUUAGAAAUCAGCCUUUCUCAGUAAUAAUUUAAAAAAAUGUGUUUUAUAAUAACACUUGCUUAUGAUUAGUCAAGCUGUGAUUUAUAUUUACUUCAGUGACAUCUAUUUUAGUCAUCCUGUUAUCCUACAAAGAGGUUUAAAAUGGUCUAAUAAAAUAUUUUG
rnacentral:lncRNA from 7 species